rnacentral:rRNA from 1 species
CCCCUGCCCCCAAUGUUUUUUAAAUUGCUGUGGUAUUUUGACUAUACAAAGGUAUUGAAAUAAGAUUUUAAUUGAAUGCUAAGAGAAUGGAAGUCCAGAAAAAAACUUUUUUUAAAUUAAAAAUUGAAGUUUUUUUAAUUUGUGCAGAAACAAUUAUUUAUAUUAAAGACAAGAAGACCCUAUGAAUUUAUUAAAUUUUUAUUUAAUAUGUAAUUACUAUUAGAAAAAUUUUGGCUGGGGCGGCUAGAAAAUAUUAUGAACUUUUUAAAAAUAAAAUGAUCCAUUAUUAAUGAUUUUAUGUUAAAUACUCUAGGGAUAACAGCGUUAUAUUUUUUGAUAGAUCAUAUUGACAAAAAAGUUUGCGACCUCGAUGUUGGAUUAGGAUACUUUUUUAAUGAAGAUAUAAAAAAAGAAGUUGUCACGUUC